UACGUAGGGUGCGAGCGUUGUCCGGAUUUAUUGGGCGUAAAGGGCUCGUAGGCGGCCUGUUGCGUCUGCCGUGAAAUGCUGAGGCUUAACCUCGGACUUGCGGUGGAUACGGGCAGGCUAGAGUCCGGUUGGGGAGACUGGAAUUCCUGGUGUAGCGGUGGAAUGCGCAGAUAUCAGGAGGAACACCGGUGGCGAAGGCGGGUCUCUGGGCCGGUACUGACGCUGAGGAGCGAAAGCGUGGGGAGCGAACAGG
rnacentral:rRNA from 1 species